ACGAAGAGUUUGAUCCUGGCUCAGGAUGAACGCUGGCGGCGUGCCUAACACAUGCAAGUCGAACGGUUAAGGCGGCUUCGGCCGCGUAUAAAGUGGCGAACGGGUGAGUAACGCGUGACCGACCUUCCCCCCGCACCGGGACAACCGCGGGAAACCGCGGCUGAUACCGGGUACUCCGGGGCCCCCGCAUGGGGGCCCCGGGAAAGCUCCGGCGGCGGGGGAUGGGGUCGCGUCCCAUCAGGUAGUAGGCGGGGCAACGGCCCACCUAGCCGACGACGGGUAGCCGGGUUGAGAGACCGACCGGCCACAUUGGGACUGAGAUACGGCCCAGACUCCUACGGGAGGCAGCAGUGGGGAAUUUUGCGCAAUGGGGGCAACCCUGACGCAGCAACGCCGCGUGCGGGACGACGGCCUUCGGGUUGUAAACCGCUUUCAGCAGGGAAGAA
rnacentral:rRNA from 1 species